AUGAGGCGUCUGUUCGUUGUUCUUGCUUCCUCGGAGCCCUCUGCUCUUUUCUCAGGCAGCACUGACUCUUCCGUCCAGCAGAGGGCUGCAUACUGGCCAAGGUCAGCAGAAGUGGACCACUCUUUCAUAGAUCUAGCAACAGUUCCAGAUCUCAUUGUUCUCACAGGUCAAUGUCAUUCUCAAAUUCAUCCUCUUUCCACCAGAGUGUGCAUCUAUAACCCUUUACAACUAAGGACCUCAAGCAACUGGCAAGGUCAAGCAACUUCAGUCAGGAAGGCAUCUUCUCAUCAAAGUGGGAAAAUAAAGGCAAAGAAUAUUGUGCUUCCAAGUGGGAUAUUUCAGUUUGAAAUAUAUAAUAUGCAAGAACAGCUGGCUAGAUCAAACUUGUAG
rnacentral:lncRNA from 1 species